rnacentral:miRNA from 1 species
UUUGGUGAUUUUAGCUCUAUG